AUUGAACGCUGGCGGCAGGCCUAACACAUGCAAGUCGAACGAGUGGCGGACGCGUGAGUAAUGUCUGGGAAACUGCAUGAUGGAGGGGGAUAACUACUGGAAACGGUAGCUAAUACCGCAUACCAUCAGAUGUGCCCAGAUGGGUUUAGCUUGGUGGUGGGGUAACGGCUCACCAGGGCGACGCUCCCUAGCUGGUCGGAGAGGAUGACCAGCCACACUGGAACUGCGCCACGGUCCAGCCUCCUACGGGAGGCAGCAGUGGGGCAUAUUGCCCAAUGGGCUCAAGCCUGAUGCAGCCAUGACGCGUGUAUGAAGAAGGCCUUCGGGUUUUAAAGUCCUUUCAGCGGGGAGGCGUUACCCGAAGAAGAAGCACCGGCUAACUCCGUGCCAGCAGCCGCGGUAAUAC
rnacentral:rRNA from 1 species